AUUGAACGCUGGCGGCAGGCCUAACACAUGCAAGUCGGGCGAGGGGCGGACGGGUGAGUAAUGUAUGGGGAUCUGCCUGAUGGAGGGGGAUAACUACUGGAAACGGUAGCUAAUACCGCAUACCAUCAGAUGAACCCAUAUGGGAUUAGCUUGUAGGUAAGGUAACGGCUCACCUAGGCGACGAUCCCUAGCUGGUCGGAGAGGAUGAUGAGCCACCCUGGGACGAGGAAACGGCCCGGCUUCCUACGGGGGGCACCGUUGGGGAAUAUUGGACAAUGGGCGCAGGCCUAAUGCGGCCAUGCCGCGUGUAUGAAGAGGGCCUUCGGGUUGUAAAGUACUUUCAGUCGGGAGGCGUUACCGACAGAGGAAGCACCGGCUAACUCCGUGCCAGCAGCCGCGGUAAUUC
rnacentral:rRNA from 1 species